rnacentral:pre_miRNA from 1 species
CGCGGGUCGUGGGAAUACCACAUUUCUACUGUAGAGUGGAUUUCCCAAGAUCCGUGAU